rnacentral:rRNA from 1 species
AAUUUUGGACAAUGGGGGAAACCCUGAUCCAGCCAUCCCGCGUGUAUGAUGAAGGCCUNAGGUUUNUNAAGUACUUUUGGCAGAGNCAAAAAGGUAUCUCCUAAUACGAGAUACUGCUGACGGUAUCUGCAGAAUAAGCACCGGCAAACUACUUCCCAGCAGCCGUGGUAAUACGUAGGGUGCAAGCGUUAAUCGGAAUUACUGGGCGUAAAGCGUGUGUAGGCGGUUCGGAAAGAAAGAUGUGAAAUACCAGGGCUCAACCUUGGAACUGCAUUUUUAACUGCCGUGCUGGAGUAUGUCAGAGGGGGGUAGAAUUCCACGUGUAGCAGUGAAAUGCGUAGAUAUGUGGAGGAAUACCGAUGGCGAAGGCAGCCCCCUGGGAUAAUACUGACGCUCAGACACGAAAGCGUGGGGAGCAAACAG